AAAGCCUGAUGGAGCAAUGCCGCGUGAGUGAAGAAGGUUUUCGGAUCGUAAAACUCUGUUGUUGAAGAAGAACAUGCGUGAGAGUAACUGUUCACGUACUGACGGUAUUCAACCAGAAAGCCACGGCUAACUACGUGCCAGCAGCCGCGGUAAU
rnacentral:rRNA from 1 species